rnacentral:sRNA from 1 species
CGUCGUCGUCGUCGUCGUCGUCGUCGUCGUCGUCGUCGUCGUCGUCGUCGUCGUCGUCGUCGUCGUCGUCGUCGUCGUCGUCGUCGUCGUCGUCGUCGUCGUCGUCGUCGUCGUCGUCGUCGUCGUCGUCGUCGUCGUCGUCGUCGUCGUCGUCGUCGUCGUCGUCGUCGUCGUCGUCGUCGUCGUC